AUCAGAACCGGAGAACUCACUUUCCCCAGUGCUUCUUUGCAGUGUUGGCAGAAUGAACCUGAUGUAACUGUACUGGGCUAAUUCAUUUUGGACAAGGUAUUCAUCUGCUACAAUGAAUGACAAUAACAGAGAGAAUGACAAUUCAGUGGUUAACCAGACUGAAGAUCAGCAUGCAUCUUUCAACAGAAAAUGUCAGGACGACACCCUCAUUAAUCCAGCAAUAUAUCACCUGAAAACUGUAAGAAAAUAUAUUGAUGGGACUAACAGAAAAAUCAGACAGUGGACAUAUGGAAAAAGAGACAGAAACAAACAGAACAAAGGUUAUGGACAUACUGAAGGACACAAAGAAGACAGAGAGACUGCUGAUUAUCUGAGCAGAUUAUUCUCAGAUGAGGAUGGGAUUCAUUAUAUUGAUGCAGUGUGUUUUGUGAUGAAGGCGUCUCAGAAUCGACUCGGAAAAUAAUUUUGCAUAUUUCACUCGGUUCUGUCUCUGUUUGGGAAAGAUAUAGAGGACAACAUAGUGUUUCUGUUCACACAUUCAGAUGGACGACGUCCAACAGAUGCUCUUAAUGCCAUUAACACAGCAGAAAUCCCCUGCAGAAGAGAUGAGAGAGGACGACCUGUUCACUUCUUAUUCAACAACUGACAGAAAGAGGAAAGAGACGAAGAGUAUCAGUAUCUCGACAGAUUAGCCUGGGAAAUAGGA